rnacentral:tRNA from 1 species
UCCCUUACCUCUCAGUUGGUAGAGCAUCAGACUUUUAAUCUGAGGGUCCAGGGUUCAAGUCCCUGUUUGGGCG